GAACUAACAAGGAUUACCUAAGUAACGGCGCGUGAGUAACGAAAAGCUCAGUUGUAAAAGCUCAGUUUUGGAAUCUGGCAGUGAUUCACUGUCCGAGUUGUAAAUUGAAGAGAGUGCCAUCCAUGCUGGACCAUGUCUAAAUUGUAAUGAUCCACAGUCCUUUGAUGGAGUAUCAGAGAGGGUAAUAAUCCCGUCUUUGGCAUGGACUUUGCCAGCGUUUCUGUGAUGCACUCUCUCAGAGUCGAGUAGUUUGGGAAUGCUGCUCUAAUGGGAGGUAAACUCCUUCUAAAGCUAAAUAUUGGCGAGAGACCGAUAGCGAACAAGUACCGUGAGGGAAAGAUGAAAAGAACUCUGAAAAGAGAGUCAAAUAGAACGUGAAAUUGCUGAAAGGGAAGCAUUUGGAGUCAGACACAUCUUCAUGGGAACACACACCUCAGUAGGGUAGGGGCUGAGAGGGUGUAAGCUUGAGGAUGGGCCAGUCCUCACAAAGACCAUUGAAGAAGGGGUCAUGGAAUGUAGCUCAGUCCUGAGUGAUUAUAGCCUUGAUUCAGAAGCAAUGUGCGUCUCUGUGGGUUGAACAGCAUGAUGAGUGUUUGGCUCUCUGUGCUUGAUUUUGACUGGCAUAAUGGCUCUAAGUGACCCGUCUUGAAACACGGACCAAGGAGUCUAACAUGUAUGCGAGUAUUAGAGUGAUUGAAACUCUGAAUGCGCAAUGAAAGUGUUUUUUUGACUGAGAAUCCCUUAUGGGGAGGCAUCAGGGCCCCGAGUCUGUUAGUCUCUGACUGAAGAUUUGGAGGCAGAGCAUAUAUGUUGGGACCCGAAAGAUGGUGAACUAUGCCUGAAUAGGGUGAAGUCAGAGGAAACUCUGAUGGAGGCCCGUAGCGAUUCUGACGUGCAAAUCGAUCGUAGAAUUUGGGUAUAGGGGCGAAAGACUAAUCGAA
rnacentral:rRNA from 1 species